rnacentral:rRNA from 1 species
CCUACGGUGGGCAGCAGUGGGGAAUAUUGCACAAUGGGGGAAACCCUGAUGCAGCAACGCCGCGUGAGUGAGGAAGUAUUUCGGUAUGUAAAGCUCUAUCAGCAGGGAAUAGAAAAGAAGGUACCUGAAAAAGAAGCCCCGGCUAACUACGUGCCAGCAGCCGCGGUAAUACGAAGGGGGCAAGCGUUAUCCGGAUUUACUGGGUGUAAAGGGAGCGUAGACGGAAAGGCAAGUCAGAAGUGAAAGCCCAAGGCUCAACCAUGGGACUGCUUUUGAAACUGUCAAACUAGAGUACGGGAGAGGUAAGAGGAAUGCGUAGUGUAGCGGUGAAAUGCGUAGAUAUUAGGAGGAACACCGGUGGCGAAGGCGGCCUGCUGGACUGCGACUGACGUUGAGGCCCGAAAGCGUGGGGAGCAAACAGGAUUAGAUACCCGUGUAGUC